AUGAGGAUUAUAGGAUGGAACUGCCCGGGGCUCGGGAAUGGCCCGGCAGUUCGAGGCCUCUUGGACGUCAAGAGGGUGGAGGAUCCCGAUGUCUUAUUUCUGUCAGAAACAAAGUCGUUUAAAGGGGAGAUGGAGAAGUACAGGUGGAAGCUGGGGCUUGCGAAUAUGUGUGUACGGGACCAGGAUGGGAGAAGUAGAGGCAUGACAAUUCUUUGGAGGAGAGGGGUUGAGCUAUCGUUGAGAUUGUUGGGGAGACGGCACAUUGAUGCAGACAUAACGAACGAGGAUGGGACGGUGUGGAGGCUUACCGGAGUAUAUGGUGAAUCACAAUCAGGAAGGAAGAAAGAAACAUGGAAGACUCUGAAACUACUAAGCCAACAACACCAAGAUGGUAGGCCUUGGUUGUGCUUUGGGGACUUUAAUGAAAUUCUUACAAAUGAGGAGAAGAAGGGAGGAGUGGAGAGGUCGCAAGGCUGCAUGGAUCAAUUCAGGGAAGCGCUUGAAGUAUGCAAACUGAGUGACCUUGGCUAUCAUGGGGACUGCUUCACCUGGAGGAAUCAUAGUACAGAGGGACGUUCUCCGGUCAAUAACCAACAACGGGAUCUGGAUACCCAUGUUGGCUCCCACAUGUUCCACGAUGAUCUCAUCGGAUGA
rnacentral:rRNA from 1 species